UUAUCAAAGAUUUAUUGCUUUGAGAUGGACCCGCGGCGCAUUAGCUAGUUGGUAAGGUAACGGCUUACCAAGGCAACGAUGCGUAGCCGACCUGAGAGGGUGAUCGGCCACAUUGGAACUGAGACACGGUCCAGACUCCUACGGGAGGCAGCAGUGGGGAAUAUUGCGCAAUGGGGGAAACCCUGACGCAGCAACGCCGCGUGGGUGAUGAAGGUCUUCGGAUUGUAAAGCCCUGUUUUCUAGGACGAUAAUGACGGUACUAGAGGAGGAAGCCACGGCUAACUACGUGCCAGCAGCCGCGGUAAUACGUAGGUGGCGAGCGUUGUCCGGAUUUACUGGGCGUAAAGGGUGCGUAGGCGGAUGUUUAAGUGGGAUGUGAAAUCCCCGGGCUUAACCUGGGGGCUGCAUUCCAAACUGGAUAUCUAGAGUGCAGGAGAGGAAAGCGGAAUUCCUAGUGUAGCGGUGAAAUGCGUAGAGAUUAGGAAGAACACCAGUGGCGAAGGCGGCUUUCUGGACUGUAACUGACGCUGAGGCACGAAAGCGUGGGUAGCAAACAGGAUUAGAUACCCUGGUAGUCCACGCCGUAAACGAUGGAUACUAGGUGUAGGGGGUAUCAACUCCCCCUGUGCCGCAGUUAACACAAUAAGUAUCCCGCCUGGGGAGUACGGUCGCAAGAUUAAAACUCAAAGGAAUUGACGGGGGCCCGCACAAGCAGCGGAGCAUGUGGUUUAAUUCGAAGCAACGCGAAGAACCUUACCUGGACUUGACAUCCCUUGCAUAGCCUAGAGAUAGGUGAAGCCCUUCGGGGCAAGGAGACAGGUGGUGCAUGGUUGUCGUCAGCUCGUGUCGUGAGAUGUUAGGUUAAGUCCUGCAACGAGCGCAACCCUUGUUAUUAGUUGCUACCAUUAAGUUGAGCACUCUAAUGAGACUGCCUGGGUAACCAGGAGGAAGGUGGGGAUGACGUCAAAUCAUCAUGCCCCUUAUGUCCAGGGCUACACACGUGCUACAAUGGUAGGUACAAUAAGACGCAAGACCGUGAGGUGGAGCAAAACUUAUAAAACCUAUCUCAGUUCGGAUUGUAGGCUGCAACUCGCCUACAUGAAGCUGGAGUUGCUAGUAAUCGCGAAUCAGAAUGUCGCGGUGAAUACGUUCCCGGGCCUUGUACACACCGCCCGUCACACCAUGAGAGCUGGUAACACCCGAAGUCCGUGAGGUAACCGUAAGGAGCCAGCGGCCGAAGGUGGGAUUAGUGAUUGGGGUGAAGUCGUAACAAGGUAGCCGUAGGAGAACCUGCGGCUGGAUCACCUCCUUUCUA
rnacentral:rRNA from 1 species